GACGAACGCUGGCGGCGUGCCUAAUACAUGCAAGUCGAACGCAGUGGGGACGGGUGAGUAACACGUGGGUAACCUCCCAUCAGAGGGGAGCACACUUGGAAACAGGUGCUAAUCCGAUAUUGCUGGAUGGACCCGCGGUGCAUUAGCUAGGUGGUGCGGUAACGGCUCACCAAGGCCACGAUGCAUAGCGGACCUGAUAGGAUGAUCGGCCACACUGGGACUGAGACACGGCCCACACUCCUACGGUAGGCAGCAGUGGGGAAUCUUCGGCAGUUGACUAAAGUCUGACCGAGCAACGCCGCGUGAGUGAAGAGGGUUUUCGGAUCGUAAAGCUCUGUUGUUAGAGAAGCGGUAUCUAACCAGAAAGCCACGGCUAACUACGUGCCAGCCGCCGCGGUAAUAC
rnacentral:rRNA from 1 species